rnacentral:rRNA from 1 species
CGACCGAGACCCCAUGUCAGGCNGGAUUACCC